rnacentral:rRNA from 1 species
GACGAACGCUGUCGGCGUGCUUAACACAUGCAAGUCGAACGAAGUGGCGAACGGGUGAGUAACGCGUAAUCAACCUGCCCUUCAGAGGGUGAUAACAGUUGGAAACGACUGCUAAUACCUCAUACUGAAGGCGGGGAUUGCGUCUGAUUAGCUAGUUGGAGGGGUAAAGGCCAACCAAGGCGAUGAUCAGUAGCCGGGCGGAGAGGAGGAACGGCCACAUUGGGACGGAGACACGGCCCAGACUCAUACGGGAGGCAGCAGUGGGGAAUUUUCCGCAAUGGACGAAAGUCUGACGGAGCAACGCCGCGGGAGGGAUGACGGCCGUCGGGUUGUAAAGCUCUGUUAAUCGGGACGCGGUACCGGAAUAGAAAGCCACGGCUAACUACGUGCCAGCAGCCGCGGUAAUAC